rnacentral:rRNA from 1 species
GACGAACGCUGGCGGCGUGCUUAACACAUGCAAGUCGAACGGAAAGGCCCUGCUUUUGUGGGGUGCUCGAGUGGCGAACGGGUGAGUAACACGUGAGUAACCUGCCCUUGACUUUGGGAUAACUUCAGGAAACUGGGGCUAAUACCGGAUAGGAGCUCCUGCUGCAUGGUGGGGGUUGGAAAGUUUCGGCGGUUGGGGAUGGACUCGCGGCUUAUCAGCUUGUUGGUGGGGUAGUGGCUUACCAAGGCUUUGACGGGUAGCCGGCCUGAGAGGGUGACCGGCCACAUUGGUACUGAGAUACGGCCCAGACUCCAACGGGAGGCAGCAGUGGGGAAUAUUGCACAAUGGGCGGAAGCCGGAUGCAGCAACGCCGCGUGCGUGAUGACGGCCUUCGGGUUGUAAACCGCUGUCGCCUGUGACGAAGCGUGAGUGACGGUAAUGGGUAAAGAAGCACCGGCUAACUACGUG